CCUGGGAACAUUUUUUCUGCGCUGAAUAUUCUAGUCAGUUUCUAGCAAAUAGAAAAUGCUUUGUGGUUGCCACUAGAGGGCAAAUAGCCUCCUGGACUUCUCUUUGACCAAAGAGUGUCUUGGUCCAAGCAGCCAGAGUUUUAAGGUCUCAUAUAAACUAGUCUUAAAUCUUGCAUUGCCGAUUGUUAGUCAACUCACCAACUCAGCAAACUCAGAACAUUUUAAUUUGUUUUAACUCAAAAUUUAAAUAGGUUCUUUUAUCAGUCUACUUACAUGGCCCAAUCUGGGAUGAUAGAUCUCUUCGCUGAGUGCACUAACUUCUUACCUUCUUAUCCUACCCCUUUACAAUCUAGAUAUUAAACCCCACUGCUCAGCCAGCAAGGUGACCUAACUUCACAGCGUUCAACAGCAUUCUUAGACCGUAGAGUGACAUCAAAGGCAUUUCCCAGCCUGAUUCGUUUCUGCUUAACUUUCCAAUCUCUCCUCCUGCCAUUCCCUCAUAGUCCCUUUACUCUGCACUACUUCAGAGUUGCUGGCACUUUCUCAAAUAUAUGAUGUUAUUUCAUGCCCUCCUGUCUUUACUCAGGCUGUUACUUCUACCUGGGAUGCUGGCACUGCCCACCACACACUGUUGAAGACUCAGUUCAGGAAUUGUUAGGAGUUCUAGAAGAGGGAUGGAAUGCAAACAACAACUCCCUUUCUCUCCAGGAAGAAGAGACCUGAAGCCCACGAUUGUGGUUUUUGAAGACUGAGCUCUCUGCCCUUGCGUAAGGAGGUCCAAGAUUUCUCCUUGAUAAAAAUGUGGACUGAAAUGCUAGUUAAAAGAAGCAAUUAGGGCUUUUGGUAUAGAGAAAUAUUUGGAAGCUGAAGAGACUGAGGUGGACUGGAAAAGAUUUGGAGAUGCCAAACAUCACAACUCAGAGACAGGAAAGUGGUCUGAAAAUAUAGCAGCUGCCUGGAGGUGCCAGGUGAGUGGGCUUGGAGAAGAGCCACGAUGAGGGCCACUGUUGGAGUCAUACUGAAGAAACUCUUCACAGCCUUCCCCAGAGGACUAUGCAGUUAAGCGGCAAUUCUGCCUCAUGUAGACAAAUAAUCAUGGAAGGUGAUUCGCAGCCUGUGAUCAACUUCUUUUUUAUCCCAGCAAAAAUAAGUGAUUCCUGAAAAUUAUCAAAAUAAUCAAACACAAGGAGAGUCUGAGAAACUGUCACAGCCAAGAGGAAUCUUAAGGUGACAUGAUGGCUAAAGGCAAUGUGGUACUCUAAAUGGGAUCUUGCAAAAGAAAAAGAACAUUGGGGGAAAACUACAGAAAUCUGAAUAAAGUAGAGACUUUAGUUAAUAAUGUAUCAGUAUUGGUUUGUUAAUUAUAAUUAUAUAUACCAUACUAAGGUAAGAUGUUAAUAAUAUGAGAAACUGGGUGUGGAGUAUAUCCAAUGUAUCUGUCUUUCCAAUGUCUUUGUAAAUCUAAAAUAGUUCUAAAAAAUAAAGUUUAUUUAAAAAGAAGGAGAAGGAGGAAAACACAGACUAACCUGUGAGGAUGUGUCCUCCAAAACCCUCAGGACACUGGAAGCACCCAGGGGACCUGAACUCAUGAAUUCCUUGGGUAUAGGGAUUGAUUCAUGCUGACAUUCUCCAUGGCCAGUGCACAGUAUCUGGUUUUAAAUAGUGGUCAAUGCAUAGUUACUGAAUUAAAAUUUAUUUCCAGUAAGGAAGACGCAAGAGGCAAUAAAGAUAAUGUUUUUCUUCUGAUGAUAAAUAAAACUGCAAAAUAUAUUUUGUGUACUUAAGUUGAUUGAAAAUUUUGUAGGGAUAUCCAGUUCAACAGAGUUCACCCUGACAUUUGGAAAAAACUGUGCUCUUAGUGCAGAAAGUGACACAAGACUCCAUUCUUUAAGAAUACUACUAUUUUGCCAGACGUGGUGGCUCACGCCUGUAAUCCCAGCACUUUGGGAGGCUGAGGUAGGCGGAUCAUGAGCGCAGGAGAUCGAGACCAUUCUGGG
rnacentral:lncRNA from 10 species